GGGUCUGGGGGGGUAAGAUGUACGCAGUCCAUACCUCUACCUCUGAUGAAGUAGAAAGGCUGUUUCCAAAAGACCCCCGGCUCAAGUCACGAGAUAUCACACAAACACAUAGUACAGCACAGAAGCAGAUGACAUAACAUAGAUACGGCACCCAUAAGGAAUAUAAAACAGAGUAAAGCAAGAAUGCAGGAAUAUACAGCAGAGGAAAACACACAUAUUCG
rnacentral:lncRNA from 1 species